GCGUCCCUGGUGUAACGGUAACACGCGGCACUCAAUCGAUCUUCCGCCGAGUAUGGGGUUCGACUCCCCGGGGGCGCC